AAUCAAGCUUUAUUCUUCAUUCAUGCUUCUGUCCGCAGAGAAGAGAGGGAAGGAAAGCAAACAUAAAACCCUUGCCACUCAAAUAUUUAAUCUUCCAUAACUUUUGAUCUGGAGCUCCGAUUGACGAACCGUUUAGGGCCACACGUUCGUCUCGGAGUCCUCUUCAAUUCUAUCUGAAUAAAGUGGUGCAAUCUAACAUUGGAUAAUUGUUGGAUUAUACUCCAAUACUCAAUGGGUAAGAUUGAAUUUAUGUUAAAUUGGAGGUUGAAUUGGUGAAUUGGAGCUCUUGGAACAAAUCCUUGGUGGCUGGAAUUAUUGGAGUUGAUUGAGAACCUUGAAGCUUGAAUUUUAGUGGUUUUGAGCUUAGGGAGGAAUCGACCAAGAUGCAGGAUAUGAGGCACCUUGCUGAGGCAUACUGGAAGCUUCUGAUAGCGGAGAUCCUUGUCUUUGGGGCUUUAUUUUGGAUAUAUGUAUAUACGUAGAUACUUUUAUCUCCACUACGUAUGUACUAAUGUAUUAACUUCCUCUUAGAGGUUAUUCUAGAGAAAUAGAUUCUGUAACUCUGUAUUUUGGGUUUAUUCUUGGGUUCUCUUAUAUAUAUAUGUUAUAUAGCUAUGUACUCAAGCCGAUUUAUCUUCGCGAGCCGAGUCUUGAGCUUUAAUAUUUGUACCUUGGAACUCUCUUUCGGUUAUAUCUAUAUUAUCUUCUCUUAUC